GAUUUCGAUUGAAAAAGUCAUCAACAACAAAAUUAGAUAACUCAUCAAGAUCUAAAACUUUUAUUUUUGUCAUUUCUUCAUCCUCCGAUAAAGUGUUAGUAACAUUGUUCACAAAUUUUACAUAUAUGUGUUAUAGUUUAUAAAACCAGACAAGAUAUACGUCGAUUUUGUGAACAAUGUUAGUAUCACUUUGUCAGAUGAAGAAAUGAUCAAAAUAAAAGUUUUAGAUCUUGAUGAGUUAUUCAACUUUGUUGUUGAUAACUUCUUCAGUUGAAAUC
rnacentral:pre_miRNA from 1 species